rnacentral:lncRNA from 1 species
UGUAUGGCGCCCUCUUCUGGCCUCUUCACAAACCUCAACACUUGGGACACACACAUAAAGGUAAGAAAUAGUAAAAUAAAUCUUUAUAAAUCUUAUGUUUAAAAGUGAAGUGAGCUGGGCAAGGUGGUGUAUGCCUUUAAUACCAACACUGGGGAGUCAGAGGCAGGCAGAUCUCUGAGAGCUCCAGGCCAGUGUGGUCUACCAAGUGAGUUCCACGACAACCAGAAGUGUAUAUAUAUAUCCACUGCCC